rnacentral:rRNA from 1 species
UACGAAGGGGGCUAGCGUUGUUCGGAAUCACUGGGCGUAAAGCGCACGUAGGCGGAUUGUUAAGUCGGAGGUGAAAUCCUGGGGCUCAACCCCAGAACUGCCUUCGAUACUGGCGAUCUUGAGUGUGGAAGAGGUUGGUGGAACUCCGAGUGUAGAGGUGAAAUUCGUAGAUAUUCGCAAGAACACCAGUGGCGAAGGCGGCUAACUGGUCCAGCACUGACGCUGAGGUGCGAAAGCGUGGGGAGCAAACAGG